rnacentral:rRNA from 1 species
AGUGAACGCUGGCGGUAGACCUAACACAUGCAAGUCGAACGGCAGCACAGUAAGAGCUUGCUCUUACGGGUGGCGAGUGGCGGACGGGUGAGGAAUACAUCGGAAUCUACUUUUUCGUGGGGGAUAACGUAGGGAAACUUACGCUAAUACCGCAUACGACCUACGGGUGAAAGCAGGGGAUCUUCGGACCUUGCGCGAUUGAAUGAGCCGAUGUCGGAUUAGCUAGUUGGCGGGGUAAAGGCCCACCAAGGCGACGCUCCGUAGCUGGUGUGAGAGGAUGAUCAGACCCACUGGAAAAGAGACACGGUCCAGACUCCCACGGGAGGGAGCAGUAGGGAAUAUUUGGGAAAGGGCGAAAGCCUGACGCAGACACGCCGCGUGAGGGAAGAAGGGCUUCGGAUUGUAAAACUCUUUUUUUUGGGAAAAAAAAAUGUGAAGGUAAAUACCCCCGUUUUGACGGGGCCCAAAAAGAAAGACACGGCUAAAUCCGUG